CUGAAUCAGCUCUCUAAGCCGUCCUGUCAGCACUGGAGGAGGAGGAAGUCUUUUAUCAACCCGCCGUGUGACUGCUGUGUGUGUAGCGCCUUGUCAUAAAGGCUUUUCUACGUGCUGGCAUGAAGAUUCACUACGAGGGACAGCAUGUGGAAGCAAUGCACCUAAGCACCCUUUUUUAUCAAUUGGUUGUUGACAAACCGCCAGGAGGAGAGGGAGUAGGGCCGGAGGAAACAGCGUGGGUCUACGGAUAACAAGAACCUGCAUGCAAUGCCUGAAAGGACUUUUUUGGAGGUUGGCCAGGGUUUGCCUUGGAGAUCAGGCUCCACGCCCAUUCUCAAGUUCUAUCAUUUCUGUGAGCUGUUCCCUAUCUCCUCUGAUUGAUUAGAUAAAUCCUCUAGAGAUCAUUAUCACUGGACCCUCUGUUCCUCGGACUGUCCUCCUGGUAUCUGCUGCUCACACCUCUCAGAUACUCACCCUCCAAAACCAUCAACUCUAUCACAAAGAUACAUCUUUACUGAACCAUUGCUCACCACCACCUGCUAACCUCAGACUAUGGCUCCACUUACCUUCUCCUGAGUCUGCUCUCUCGCCU